rnacentral:sRNA from 1 species
GCAUUUUACAAGCAAGCUACUAGCUGAUUUGGCAUCAAAACAUGCACAAGUUUCACUCAUCCUCCUCUAAGAUUUCACUUAGCUCGGAGGAGAAUUGGUGAGAAUUCACCGCAAGUGACACGGGUUCAUCAUCACAGAAGAAUGGUCUUGGAGGCAUCUGCAGGCCAACAACGCCACCUUCAAGCAUCUCUAUGACCUCGCUCAUCGUCGGCCGAUCGUGAGAUUUCAUCUGGAUGCAAUGCAGCCCGAUUAUGCACAGCUUCCUCUCAAGCUCAUGCAUGUUAGCAACAGUACCAGCAGGUAUCUCACCAACACCUACUUGCUGCUCAGUUAGUUGGUCAUACACCCAAGAUGGGAAGUAGGUCUGAUUUGAGUUCUCUGCAUACAUGUCUGAGUUUCUUCUUCCUCCAGCCAUCUCCAGUAGCAACAUUCCAAAGCUAUAGACAUCGGAUUUGCUCGAUAUGAUUCCGAAGCUUCGAGAUAUCAUUUCAGGAGCAAUAUAACCUAUUGUUCCCCGUAAAGCACUGAGCGGCACAAAACUUUGGUCCCUGGGGCACAAUUUGGCAAGGCCGAAAUCAGCAACCUUUGGAACAAAGUUGACAUCAAGAAGGAUAUUGUGUGGCUUGAUGUCAAAGUGGAGUAUCUGCAUAUCGCAACCCUGAUGAAGGUAGUUGAUCCCCCUAGCAAUGCCCAAAGCAAUUUCAUUGAGCUUAUCCCAUGAGAAACUUCUUUCAGAUGAGAAAAUGUACUUGUCCAACGAUCCCCGUGGCAUGUACUCAUAGACAAGCGCCCUCCUUAUUUCCUCUGAACAAAAACCAACAAGAUGAACUACAUUGAUGUGGUGGAUCCUACCGAUGGUGGAGACCUCACUGAUAAACUCUUCGCCAUUGCAGUUAGAGUUUCCUAGCACCUUCACAGCCACGUGAGCAUUGCCUGGAAGGAGAACACCUUUGUAUACAGAGCCAUAACCUCCUUGGCCGAGCUUCUCCCUGAAGUGACCUGUGAUUGCAAUGAGGUCAGUGUAGGCAUACCUUGUUGGACCAUUCAUUAAUUGCAUCCGGAGGAACUUCUCUACUGCAUCAGUUGUUAUCCUUAUCUUCCAGUAAUUGCGUGCUAAGAAGGUUAAUAUCACCAGGGGCACCAAAAUGAACCUGCAAAAUACUGCAUAAAAAAUAACUUUAUAUUUAACACAUACUUGUAGAAAAUCCUGAAAGACGUUGGUCGUUCCUCUUGGACGAUAUUUCUGCAGAGACAAUAUAAUGUAAAGCGUAAAAAAAACAAUAUAAUGUAAAAUGAACUUAAGAUGCCCCCGAGCAGUUUCUGAGCAGAUAAGCAAGAGAAAUCCAUGCAUAUAUAAAAAAUCGACUAAAAGAGAAAUAAUGAAACCACAUGCAGGAUGUCGCAAACUCACUGGAAUGACUGUGCUAUGCACUGUUUGAUUUUGGAGGAGUAGACAUAAAAACGACUUGUGUAUGGAAACCGAAUGGCAAAUCCACCUCUCAUUAGUUUGACAACAUCGGCGUAGCUUGCAUUCUCUAGCACCAGUGGGCGGUCGCCGGCACCCAGAGGAGUCAUGGCCAGGUACCCACAGGAAGGCUCGAGACUCCCAAUAGAAUCAGAGUUCAUGCCAGUUAGCACGUAGACGAAGGAGCUGUUGGUGCUCAUGCAAGCAACAGGCCUGUACUUGCCAUUGCUCUUCAGUAUUUCCUGCGAACAUGUCACAAAAGUAGCUGUAGUGCUCUGAUAAGGUGGCAUCAGUUCAGCUUGGAUGCUGCGGCGGCGGGAGUCUUCUCCAUGCCGCUCGUAUAACAUUUGGUCGUAGUAACCGAAAUCGCGAUUCCAGCGAGGAAGAGGGCAAUUGUUACGUGAAUCCGAGAUGUUGGCGUCGAUGACCCAGAAGGUAGAAUCCUUGUACUUGAUGUCCAUCACAAGGUAUGUCCCGUUGUCGAUCUGAAUCGUAGCCGGCUUGUCGUCGGUGCAGGUCAGCUCGUAGGACGCAACGCCGCACUCCGGCGGGUCACCUCGCCGGCGGAACGGGGGCGACACGUCGCUGAGAUGGCCGCAUGAGAACGGAGCGCAGCCAUGCCGAUGAUGCCGUCCAGCUGCAUGUGGGACAAGAACUGCAAACACA